GUGCUCGCUUUGGCAGCACAUACACUAAGAUUGGAAAGAUACAGAGAAGAUUUGCAUGGCCCCUGCGCAAGGAUGACAUGCAAAUUCAUGAAGCGUUCCAUAUUUUC
ensembl:snRNA U6 U6 spliceosomal RNA